rnacentral:rRNA from 1 species
AGAGUUUGAUUCUGGCUCAGGAUGAACGCUAGCUACAGGCUUAACACAUGCAAGUCGAGGGGCAGCAUUGGAGUAGCAAUACUCAGAUGGCGACCGGCGCACGGGUGAGUAACACGUAUCCAACCUGCCGCUUACUCGGGGAUAGCCUUUCGAAAGAAAGAUUAAUACCCGAUGGUAUAAAGAGUUCGCAUGUUCUCUUUAUUAAAGAAUUUCGGUAAGCGAUGGGGAUGCGUUCCAUUAGAUUGUUGGCGGGGUAACGGCCCACCAAGUCUACGAUGGAUAGGGGUUCUGAGAGGAAGGUCCCCCCACAUUGGAACUGAGACACGGUCCAAACUCCUACGGGAGGCAGCAGUGAGGAAUAUUGGUCAAUGGACGAGAGUCUGAACCAGCCAAGUAGCGUGAAGGAUGACUGCCCUAUGGGUUGUAAACUUCUUUUAUAAGGGAAUAAAGUGAGGGACGUGUCCCUUUUUGUAUGUACCUUAUGAAUAAGGAUCGGCUAACUCCGUGCCAGCAGCUGC